rnacentral:rRNA from 1 species
GACGAACGCUGGCGGCGUGCUUAACACAUGCAAGUCGAACGGAAAGGCCCUUUGGGGUGCUCGAGUGGCGAACGGGUGAGUAACACGUGGGUGAUCUGCCCUGCACUUUGGGAUAAGCCUGGGAAACUGGGUCUAAUACCGGAUAGGACCAUGGCCUGCAUGGGUUGUGGUGGAAAGCUUUUGCGGUGUGGGAUGGGCCCGCGGCCUAUCAGCUUGUUGGUGAGGUUAUGGCUUACCAAGGCGACGACGGGUAGCCGGCCUGAGAGGGUGACCGGCCACACUGGGACUGAGAUACGGCCCAGACUCCUACGGGAGGCAGCAGUGGGGAAUAUUGCACAAUGGGCGCAAGCCUGAUGCAGCGACGCCGCGUGAGGGAUGACGGCCUUCGGGUUGUAAACCUCUUUCGCCAGGGACGAAGAGUGAUUGACGGUACCUGGAGAAGAAGGACCGGCCAACUACGUGCCAGCAGCCGCAGUAACAC